rnacentral:rRNA from 1 species
CCUACGGGAGGCAGCAGUGAGGCAUAUUGGUCAAUGGGCGUAAGCCUGAACCAGCCAAGUCGCGUGAGGGAUGAAGGUUCUAUGGAUCGUAAACCUCUUUUAUAAGGGAAUAAAGUGCGGGACGUGUCCCGCUUUGUAUGUACCUUAUGAAUAAGGAUCGGCUAACCCCGUUCCAGCAGCCGCGGUAAUAUGGAGGGUCCGAGCGUUAUCCGGAUUUAUUGGGUUUAAAGGGUGCGUAGGCGGCCUGUUAAGUCAGUGGUGAAAGUCUGUGGCUCAACCGUAGAAUUGCCGUUGAAUGUGGGAGGCUUGAGUGUGUUUGAGGCAGGCGGAAUGCGUGGUGUAGCGGUGAAAUGCUUAGAUAUCACGCAGAACCUCAAUUGCGAAGGCAGCCAGCCAAGCCAUGACUGACGCUGAUGCACGAAAGCGUGGGGAUCAAACAGGAUUAGAUACCCCUGUAGUC